AAGCACUCUGUGAUUGCUUCUGAGGAACCCAGGGCGGAAGUGGCGUGCAGGGCUUGCAGAUAAACCUUAGGAGGAACCGGUCAAAGGAAAGAGCGCCUUCUGGAACUGUCAAGCCUUCAUUUGGCAGCUCGGUGACUGGCUUGGUCUACUUGUGAGGUGCUGAGGGAAGAUGUCUGCUGUUCCAAAACGAUACAAAUAGAAAAUGGGGUCCCUUGUGUUGUUGAGGGAUGGGUGCUAAUGCUGGCAGCU